AUUGAACGCUGGCGGCAUGCUUUACACAUGCAAGUCGAACGGUAACAGGCCGCAAGGUGCUGACGAGUGGCGAACGGGUGCGUAAUGCAUUGGAACGUGCCCAGUCGUGGGGGAUAACUACUCGAAAGAGUAGCUAAUACCGCAUACGAUCUAUGGAUGGAAGCGGGGGACCGUAAGGCCUCGCGCGAUUGGAGCGGCCGAUGUCAGAUUAGGUAGUUGGUGGGGUAAAGGCUCACCAAGCCAACGAUCUGUAGCUGGUCUGAGAGGACGACCAGCCACACUGGGACUGAGACACGGCCCAGACUCCUACGGGAGGCAGCAGUGGGGAAUUUUGGACAAUGGGCGCAAGCCUGAUCCAGCAAUGCCGCGUGCAGGAAGAAGGCCUUCGGGUUGUAAACUGCUUUUGUACGGAACGAAACGGCUCUGGUUAAUACCCGGGGCUAAUGACGGUACCGUAAGAAUAAGCACCGGCUAACUACGUG
rnacentral:rRNA from 1 species